CACGUAGGCGGGUCCUUAAGUCGGGGUGAAAUCCUGGAGCUCAACUCCAGAACUGCCUUCGAUACUGAGGAUCUCGAGUCCGGGAGAGGUGAGUGGAACUCCGAGUGUAGAGGUGAAAUUCGUAGAUAUUCGGAAGAACACCAGUGGCGAAGGCGGCUCACUGGCCCGGUACUGACGCUGAGGUGCGAAAGCGUGGGGAGCAAACA
rnacentral:rRNA from 1 species